AUGCACUCCUCCUGCACCUCCGACGACAAUGCCGCAGUGCUGGGAUCAGGAUCUGGCUGCGUGCUCCACCACCCUGCUGCUGCUACUCAGCACUACGGUCACCUCUGCGCCCACGAUGGGCCCUCGCCCGCCAACGGUGCCCCUGUGCCCGAGGGCCGCUACGGGCCCCGCUCACGGGCCUUGCCGGAGGAAGAGGAGGGAGGUGCAGUGCUGGAGGGGCCCCGAGCCAGACGGCCAUUCACCUCGCUGAUGAGAAGGGGAAGUGGGGAGGAAGAACUAGAGAGAAACGGCGGCGGCGGCGGCGGCGGCGGCGGCCAUGUUAUGCCCAGGAACACGCAAAGGAGGGUGGAUUUUUACUUAGGGCCGAACCACUGCGCUGUGUUGGGGGACUGCACACCACGCUUCCCGCAGGAGUGGGAUCCAUGUUACAUCCCCCCUCCGAGAUGGAACUGGCCGGCAGUGGAGCCCUGCUGGGAGCACUGUGCGUGCAGUAGGGAUGUCCGGCCAGAGCGGGAGAGGACGCCUCCUCUGCCACCGCUGCCACCGCUGCCACCGCUGCCAUCACCUCCGUGCUGCUACUCGCCCGAGAGACGACCUCUCAGUGCCAGCCAUGCACCACACCAGCCUCCCCCAGAGUUCAGGGGUCAUCCGAGACGCAGGGAGGUCGUCCACAGUGGCAUGAAGGAACCCUGCUGGGAGUGUGUGCGAGCCCACUAUUGGAGGGACAGACAUAGGCCUGACCUCAUAGCUGUAGACCCUGUUUGUGGAUACAACGGCCAGUACCAACAAGCGCUCAGUCCUGUGCUCUCAUAUGGCCAUGAACAUACUUACGAGCACCAAAGACUUAGCAGGCAGACGAGCCCUGAGCAUGGGACUUGUAAUGGGCCAACACUGGGCCAAAGAACGUUCUUCCCCACAGAGGUUCCCCCGGCAAAGUUACGAGGCCCUGAGGAGUCCGGUUUCUGUCGGCCCAAGAGUGUGCGCGGACUGCGGAGGAGGGAACACGAGUCGGAGGGACAGAAGGAGAAGGAAAGUAAGUCUGGAGCAGUGAAUCAACAGAAGAGUCAGGGUUCCGUGAGAGAACAGAUCCGGAGGGUGAUGGGUGACCUGGAGGAGGUUCUUGGAGGCCUGAAGCAGGUUCACCUGGAGAUGAAGGAGGUUGUGCAACAAAUUGACGUCUUGACCACUAACAUUGACCUUGGCGGAGACGAGUUGAGCAGUCGGACUUCCCAUGAACCUCUGCUUCAACAACAGGCUCUCUGCCACGAGGUCAAGGCACUCGUCCACAUGCCAGCCGACACUCACCCCCCCCAGGAGCCGCAGCCACAGCAGCAGCCACACGGCAUCAAUGGUCACCCCACCCCCAAACUCUCCACCUGUCACCCCUCCAUAACACGGCGAGGGCACACUCCCACCGGCGACUCACACCGGGUCAGGGCCCUAAUCUCGGGCCAUGAGGCCACGAAGAACAGGAGCAAAAUGAACGGCAACUGCGUGGCUCCUCGCCCGCCUCGGGACCGGGUCAAAGACGCCCAGAGACGAAGGAUAGAGCUUGCCUCUCUGCCCAGCUCGCUCCCCGCCAAUGGCAGCACCACGUCCGUCAAGAACCACAAGCCUCAAUCCUACCCCAACCACAACGGGCGGGCGGAGCUCCUCCAUAAGGACUUGGAUGCGUCCGUGAGUGCCGUGCGGACUGCUGCCCACCAGGGGAAGGGCGGGCAGCUCUCCACGGCCGUGUGA
ensembl:lncRNA